rnacentral:tRNA from 1 species
UGCCGAAAUGGUGGAACUGGUAGACACGCAGGUUUCAGGUACCUGUGGGGUAACACCUGUGGGGGUUCAAGUCCCCCUUUCGGCAU